CUCACUUAUGUAUUUUGUGGUCUUGCCUUGGUAUAGUUCCCUUUGUGUUUAUGGUAUAGUUCCCUUUUUCUGCUUCAAGAGGUUUAGGUUCCACUGGUAUGAAUUGCCUCAUCUUCGUGCAUUCAUAGUAUUGUAUCUUCUUGGGUUACCUUUGCUUUGUAGUUCAUGAAUUGGGUUUCAACACUUAUAAUUUGAAGAACGGGGCACUGUAGAAUUGAUGAAAAAGGAAGGAGAAAUGCUCUGCUGCUAUGUGAAAAGAAAUGGGUAACAUUCACUAGGAAGUAGGAUUAAUUGCUAGAGCUGCGGAAGUAGGUUCAUAGUGCUGAAAAUACUAAAAUAUGUUAACAUGUUAAUUGAGCUUUUGUUAGAUGAUCUUGCUGAGUAAAAAAGGUAAUCAAUUUAUUUUUUAUUGUUAUUAUUAUUAUUUAUAGUACCCUUAACUGAGAUUCCUAUAGAUGCUUGGCAGAAACUAAAACUGGGUUUGGUCUGAGUUGAUUUGUUCGGAAGUCAGUCUUGAUUACUUUGCAUUUAUAUAUAUAUUUUUAGACAUAAUGGCAACAAAAAGAGAAUGUAAAAAAAAAAAACAUAAUUCCAGAAUAUAAUCUUGUUCAUCCUUGUUUGCUUUCAAGUUGCAUUGAGUUUUACAAGCUUAUUUAGGUUCCCCUAUUUAGUACCAAAUGUAUAUUAAUUCGAAAUAGUGUGACAGAAGGGGAAAUAGGUCUAGUGAUGGUGAAUGAUACAUUUUCACUACAAAUGAGUACUUGAAGGCCUUUUAACUUUCUUCUUCUUCUUCUUUAUGUAAUCAAUUUUUGUUGGCAUAAAUGGUGCUCAAGACCUCACUUCCUCGGCAAAUGCAUAUUGUAACAAGGUUCACAGGUCUCAGUGGCUCAGAAUGAUUGAAGUCAUCAGAUUGAAAGCUAAGCGAUUGUCUAGAUAGCCAGGCGAUCGUUGAAGGUUGAAAACUGAGAAGACGUUUAGGAUUUCUUAUUUGUAUUAGGAUCUUGUUUCAUGUACUAUUGUAGAAUGUAUAUAUAAACACAAUAUUAAGUUUUCAUUUUGUGUAUUUGUAAAAGAUAAAUAUUGUAGUUUCUAAAAUAAUAUUAAUUUCUUGGAGCGAGAAAAAAAUAUUUAUCUAUAA